UUCGAAGGUCAACAAAAUAUU
ensembl:piRNA 21ur-3920 ncRNA